AUAAUUUUUUACUGUACUGAUGUAUCUUGCUUUUAUUACAGUUUUAUCAUAUAAUCGUCUGCGCCUCAUAUUCACAUCGGGCUAUCCUCAGGGUCUAUAGCAGGUGUAAUAUUUGUGCAGAAGAGAUGUUUCAAUAUGUAUGGUGCACUGAAGCACAAGGCUCUAAGAGUGCAUGUCUGGGAAGCUCAGAGAUUUGCUGGGAUGUCACAGCAGCCUGUUUCCAUGGGGCCUUAAGCACAUUUACAUACCCAGUGGAGCCUACCACUUAGGCAGAGCUAAAAUUUUUUGUGAUUCAAAUAUGCUGGAACAGAUAGAACAAAAUUAGUGGAUUGAUGGGGAAUGAAGUGUGCUCUCUAGAACAAACUUCAAUACAUUUUUCCAGUGAGGUGCAUAGCACUGGCUGGCACACAUGAUCUAUGCAGAAUGACAGGAAAGAAUAAAAGAACAACAACAACAAUAAAUGCACACACACACACACACACACACACACACACACACACGUACAUACACAAAUACAUCCUGCUCAGUCUGUAUAAUAUUACUUGUGUGUACAUAAUCUCAAGGAUGACCACUCACACAUGCAUGCACAUAUGCACACAAAUACAACCUGCUUAGUGUGUAUAAUAUUACUUGUGUGUAUAUAAUUUCAGGGAUGACCACACACACACACACACACACACACACACACACACAAAUACAACCUGCUCAGUCUGUAUAAUAUUACUUUUAUUUCUAUAAUUUCAAGUAUGACCACUUGGUGUUUGUUAACCAAUUAAAGAAAAAGAGGCAAUGAAUGUGAGAAAGAGGCAAAGAAGGUUACAUCGGUGGUAUUGGGUGGAGGAGAAAGAAGGAGAAGUGACAAAAUUAUAUUUUAAUUUCAAAAAUUAAAAAAUAAAUUCUAUUAGCAAUGACCGUAAAUAGAAAAGGCAGAAAUUGAAAUUUGUAGACUGUAGAGAAUAAUAUAGAAAAACAAAACAACUAAAAGAAACUUUUAAAUUAAAAUAAAAUGUUUGUCAUGUGCCUCCCUGGUUGUCUAUAAAGAAAGCUGUAAUUAUGAAACACUUCCCCCUGAAGUCAUACUUAUUUUCCUCAUGCAUUUACAAAAGAGAGCACUCAUAUCCUGCUUCUGAUGCCAGUGUCUCAGGACUAACAAUUUUAAGUUGCCGGGACUUCCAAUAAAAUUAUUUGAUGUCGCUUUUGAUGGUGUAAUUACCUCCAAUGAAUUCUAAACUUAACUUGCUUACUGAUGUCUAUGAUGUUGCCUUUCUGUAUCUUGAAAUGUUUUCCCUGUGAAAAGACAAAACUCUUUGAGAUUGCUCAUUAGCUCAUUAUUAGGUGAUUAGAUUGAAAAUCCUAUUUUGCUUUUCAUUUUUAAUUGAUGUGACAACUUCCAGCCUUUGAAUGCAAGAAUUAUUAUAACUGCUUUCUAAACUUACAUUGAUGAAGUUAGAAGCCUACAUUUUUUUCACCACAGCUUAGAAAGUACAUGUUCACCCACAGACAACAACAGUGGGGUCCUGAAAUAUUCAGCAUCUAGUUUUUAUACUUGUAACUUGUUGAGCCACCAUAGGCAAUUUUUUUUUCUUAUUCGGAAACAUUUGUCACACAUGAUUUUGUAGUUUUAUAGAAUAGAAUCCUUUGUUUUGAAAAUUUGGGGAAAUGGUCUUCAUGCUUCUAUAAUUACAUUUGUAAUUGGACAGCUCAUUUAUUUUAUGAAUUUUUAAAAUGUAUUCUUCAUUUGGUAUGUUUAGACCUAAUGGCAAAUGAUAAGAUAAAUAAAAAAUAGUGAGCUUAAGAUAAUUGACGAGAAAUCAUCUAAAAGAAGUUAGGACUACAGUAACUGAAAAAUAAGUCAUUUUGGAAAAUGACUGUGAUUUUUAUCAAACAAAGAAUAUCAUAAAAUGUUUAUGGGCGGCGGCUCUGUAGAAACCAAUUAAAAUAGAAUUUCUUUUCUUUGCUAAAUCUCAGCUUACACCCCUCUCUAACCUUGCAGAAAGAAGCAGCUUCGUAAAUAGCAGCUGUAACCCAGAAACCAGGAGCGAAUAAUAGAAAUAUUGAGACAUAUAAAAACAAUGCUACAACAAGCCAGAUUGUAGGAGGCUU
rnacentral:lncRNA from 1 species